ensembl:lncRNA
GAAGAGUGCUGUAACCUGGAAGAGGGCCCUCACCAUCACUUGACAACGCUGGGACCAUGAUCCCAGCAUUGAAGGCAUGGAGACUUCCAGCCUCCAAACUGUGACAAAUAAAUUUCUGUUAUUGGCAACCCAACCAGUGUUCAGUACUUUAUUACAGCAGCUGGAUCUGACUAAGGCAGAGUUGUGUAAACCAAAUGCUUUUAGUGGUAGUUAAGUGAAUGUGCAUCGUGGGAUACUAGGAUCAAGGAAUUUGGAUAGAGAAAGUAGAACAUAUGUUCUCCUGCCAAGAUAAGCCCCAAAAGGUGACUAUCUGUGAAAUGAGAGUUCUCUCUCUCUCUCUCCCUCCCUCACUCCCUUCCUCCUUAUCUUACUCCCUUCCUCCCUAUUCACCUGCCAUUCUAGGGGCUUUUAUUGCUUGCUUCUUUGUGUCUUCUCACUCAACCUCAAGAGCAUUAAUAUUCUUGUUUUUCAAAUAAGAUGAAACUUAGAAUAAAUGACACCCAAGGUCACAGAAGACAUAUUCAGAAUGUGGAUUCCGUGCUGACCUAGCCAGCUUCAAAGCCCGCACCUAUUUAUUGUUUGCACAUGCCUUCCAUAAUUAAGAAAGAAUGUGUCGGGCCAGGGAUUUAGCUCAGUGGUUCCACUGCCUGCCUCACAAGCUCAAGGUCCGCAGUUCAAUCCCCAGUACCAAAAAAAAAAAAGAAAAGAAUAUGUCCACUAAAAGAAUUUCUUGUCAAUAUCAGCUUAGAAAAUGAAACUAAGUGUUCUGUGACAGAGAUAGCUAAGUUAAUGAGGAAACAGAUGAAAUGAGAAUAAACAGUUCUUAAAUGUAAAAACUGUAAAAAAACAGGUCUAAUUGCUGAGCAGUCAAGAACAUGGUUUUGUAGUUUUGCAGGUCUGACCAGCAUGGAUUUUAAUUUUGGCUCCAUUACUUACUAGACUUUUCAUCUUUCUGAAGUUACAAAAGCUCUCUGAGCCUGUUUUCUCAUUUAUAAAGAAGUAUAUAAAGAGGGACCGGGGAUUUAGCUCAGUGGUACCACUGCCUGCCUCACAAGCACAAGGUCCCAAGUUCGAUCCCUGGUACCAAAAAAAAAAAGUAUAUAAAGAUAUAUAUAGGACUAAAUGAGGGAACAUAUACAAUUUAUUGUGAAUCUGAUGUACUUAGGCUGUUAAUUAGUAGCUUUACUUAUUUAUUAUUAUCACAACGAGGCCAAGUACUAAUUGCAACCAAGAAAAACCUUCAUGGAUGAAAAGAGUAAAAGGAGAAGUAAAUUUUCCCAGAAAGUUCAGCCGUACAGAAUUCAGGAUUCUCAUUCAUUCCUUCCUCCUCUCUCUUCUGUUCUCUCCCCAUCCUCCGACUUGCUAAACCACAUACAUCACCUCAUUUCAUCUAAACAUAGUUUUUGCCCUUCAUCCACCUAGAAUUCUUCCUGUACUCCCCCUGGCUCACACUCACUUCCUUUCUCCAAGCUUCCCUCUCUAGGCUUGCUCUCUUUUUUCAGGUAAUUUAUUGCCACUUCCUCAGAGAGACCAUGUUCAUGUCCAGGCUUACAGUGCAAAGCAGCCAUCAUGCCAUUCCAUAUCAUACCGCCCUGUUUAAGCUCUCUGUACAGCACUUAGUACCAUCUGAGGUUUUUUUCUUUACUAAGGAUAGGUUUGUGUGGCAUGGUCAAGUUCAGAAAAAUGUGCAAAUUGGAAUGCAAAUUUGGCAGUCAUGAUUCUGCAUUGCUCUGAAUGGUGGCCACUUGAAGGAUGUAGAGCUCAUAACAUGUUAAAUGAAAGUUGACACCAACACUCUGAGUGGGAGGGACACCACGGAAAGGAAAGAAAUUUUGUAGAUCUGAGAUCUGGAUACAAUCCCCACCAUGAGGAGGAAGCAGUUGUGAGUUUAAUGUACUUUUGACCUUAACUGAAGUAAAAUUUAGUAAACUGGGUUGGAAAAGAAAAUAGCUUCCUUCCCCAAAAGUCAAGAACAUAGAAGAAAUCUGAAAGUUUUUAUACAAGGACAGCUGAAUAGGUUGAACUUUGCACUAGAGUUCAAGUAGACAAUGGAAUCAUUAUGGAAACCAAAAGACCAAUUAUCUAAGAGGAACUAUCCUAUUUGGGGACUGGACAUGACUUGUGAAUAAAAUAGUACUGCAUAGCAUUGGUAGUGCUAAUAGUUUUUGUUUUGUUUUUUAUGCAAAGUCAGGUGCAAGAAAUCACUUCCUUCACACAUUGCUAGUACAAGUAGGGUAACAUUCCUGGGGAGCAAUUUGCAAUGCAAAGUAAAAGCCUGUCCCUUGACUAAAAGACCAUUUAGAAAAAUUUACCAUAGAAAAUAGUCAUUAAAUUUACUGGUUUUUAGCUUAAAAAAUUGUGACAUCCAAUUUUUCACUAUUUUUGAUCAUUUCCAAAACAUCCAUCAUGAAAGAGGUGACCAAAUAAAUUAAGAUUCAUCCAAUAAUAAAUUCUUACAUAGUUACUGAAAACUCGUUUCAAGGAUUUAUUAAACUUUUCUCAAAUAUUUUUAACUACUAAAAUUCUCACAACAAAAUUUAAAAACCAGAAAACCUAACUUCAAAUGCUAUAUCAGCUUACUAAAAAUUGACACAGAUAUGUCAUUGAGUCCAAAUUAAAAACAUGAAUUGGAUUUAAAUUUUAUUCUAUAAAUCUUGAAUGCUGAUAAUUUCAGUAGUUGAUAGACAUCCACACACAUCACACCCCAUAUACACUCAAGACUAAAUAAAACUAACCCAAUUGUUAACAUAGUUAUGUCUGAGUGAAGAAAUACCAGAGGAUUUUUAUUUCUUUGCCAUCAUUAAAGUUAAGAGUAAUAAAAAUAUAUUCACUAAAAAUAGAAGUUUUUUGUUGCUGUUCUGUUUUUGCUUUUGUUUUGCAGAAAGCAACCUUCUCAACCUUAUUGCGAUUUUUGUAUUGAUUUGUUUGCUGUUUAAACCUACAGUAUUUUGCUGAGAAAGAGGAAUAGAAAAAAUCAAAAGCUAUAUGCUUUCAGAUCUAAAUACUUACAUUUUUCUAAUUAUUCUCAUGAAAUGUAAUCUAAUUUACUUUAAUUGCAGAUUUCGGGAAGUAGAAGAUAAAGACUGUCAGGAAAUAACAUUAGAAGUGAUAACAGCAGGAGCAAUAGGACCUAGGAGUUCCCAAAAGGAACAUGAAGGAUGUCAUGCCAAAAGGGGCAAAGAGCACAGUCCUCAACUAUGGAAAUAAUUGUGGGCCAAACUGUUAAUGGAAUUUGGGGUGCUGGAGUCUCCUAGAGGUAUUUUCUAGGUCCUUUCUGUCCUAAACAAAGACACAAAAGUUGGCGAGAUUUUAACAUUUAUUAAAGAUAGGAAAAGAAACAUGCUUUACAGUGUGAGUUUGGGCCAAUUAGAACUAGAGAAAGAACAUUCUACAGGGUGAGAACAGACCACCAUUAAAGAGAGAAUGCAGUGGUCCCAAGCUCAACCAUCUGUCUCUUUGUAUCUUCCACUCCUCAGGUUAACAUCAGGUCUAGGCUGCCCUAUCAAAAACCUACUCCAGCUCUCAUGAGAAUUGAAGAUAGCACUCUGAUUGCUGCCACAAGCAGGGCUUUGGGAACUGUUCUAUGUUUGUAUCCUGUAGCUUUGUAAUUAAUAGGUCAUGCCCUUUUCCACAGCUGUUUGCUAUGCUCUAAUCUCCUGCCUCAAAACCAGUUGCCUAUACUUAUGGUGCAUUAUUCUAGUAACAGAGUUUUGUUUUGUUUUUGUUUUUUUGCAGUACCUGGGAUCGAACUCAGGACCUUGCACUUGGGAGGCAGGCAUGGUGCCACUGAGCUACAUCCCCAGCCCAGGUUUCUGCCCUUUACGUUAUCAACCAAGCUCAACUUUAAAUAUCUCUAAGAGAUUUUUGAUGUGAUGAGUCUGGAAGAAAAAACAAACCAGCCUAAGAAGCUUAAAGAAUCCUAUGAAGGGCAGAUAUGGAUAACAUUGGGUAACUCUGUGUUGUGAAGUUUCAGUGUUCUGAAAAGUACAAUUUUAAAAUGAUGAUUUUCCUGGUCUCUUUCCUUUUUUUAUUUCUAUCCUAUAAAAGAUGAGGAAACCUGAGUAGGAAGACAAGGAGUUAGGAAGAUGUUUGGAAGAAUUCGAAUUCAGAGGAAUGCAUGAGCCAGGCUUGGUGCCACUGUAAAGGUGGCCCAAGGAGCUCUUAUGCUAAUUGGCUCCAAUAGUUUUAUAAUAAAUAAAAUAGACUUUGACCUAAGGACAGCACUACUCUCGUUUGUAUGCAUGAGAUCUUGGGCUCUGUUUUGUCACUCAUUUCUCACUCAUUUCAAGUUCCUGGUUGUGGUUGCUGGAAGUUUGCCUGCCAGAUUGAGAUGGAUAACUGUAACAUAAUAAAUCAUAGUUAUGAGCAAAAAUUGUAAUAUCCACCUUGUAAUACUAUUCUCAAGAACCAGAUGUUUUCAAGAAAAACGCUUCAGUCUCCAAUCUGCCUUACAGUGCACAUCAGUGAAUCUGGCACAAUGCCCAUGAAAGCAAUUUGAUCCCAUAAACCAGGAAAGCUGAGUAAUGAGCAGGUUCUAAAUGCCUUCUUCUGAGUGGUGUAACCAUAGAAUAGAUGGCAAUCAUUAAACCAGGCUGUUUUCAAAUAGUGCUUAUAUUAUUUUUAUCUUUCUUCAAACAAAUUCUUUUGGCAAUGUUAAAGAAACUCUGUUUUUAAAAAAACAUAAGGAUAUUUUAAGAAGGUAAUUACUACUUCCGUUUCCGCCAGAGGCAGCCUAGUUUUAUUUUUAAGAGUAAAUGAUGUAAGAACUUUAAAAAAAAAGCACUUGAAGUACAAACAAUGCUGUGAAAUAAGUAUUCAGUAG